CCGGAGAAGCUGGAGUUGAGGAAGCCGCGGUCGCCGCCGGGACCUGCAAGGGAAGUCUAAACCGGAGGUGGGGUUGCUCCGGCAAGACCCUCCGACGCUCAAGUCAGUUCUCUGCCUCAACAAGAAUGGAGUGCUCGAACGGAGAGUUUAGCAGAGUUUUGAGAUAAGGCAAAAGAGCUUAAAGAAUAACGUAUCUGAGUCUCCCUUUUAUAGGAGGGGGAGGCAACGGACUGAUGGCGACGUUUGUAACCGCCUGGUAGUGGGCCGCCCACGGUCAGGGGAAUUGAUUGCGAAAGAUAAUGGAGCAGACACGUGGGCAUCACUUCGACUCGCCACGUGGAAUCUGUUAUGAGGGGUGGAGCAGCGUCCGUCGUCAGGAGAAUCGCAUGGUAUCCAUCGCAGGAGGUGGAGCAGGUUCGUGGCCGUCACUGUGGCCUGCCAGGGGAUAGUGGAGCUGUGCGGAGUCCGCCACAGG
rnacentral:lncRNA from 1 species